rnacentral:misc_RNA from 1 species
AGCAGCCGCGGUAAUUCCAGCUCCAAUAGCGUAUAUUAAAGUUGUUGCAGUUAAAAAGCUCGUAGUUGAAUUUCGAGACCGGUUUACUGGUCGUGCUUUUGUACGUACUGGUAUUAUUGGUUUCUCCUUUCUGACGAAUCAUAAUGCCAUUAAUUUGGUGUUUUGGGGAAUCAGGACUGUUACUUUGAAAAAAUUUAGAGUGUUUAAAGCAGGCUCACGCUUGAAUACAUUAGCAUGGAAUAACGAAAUAGGACGUUUGAUUUUAUUUUGUUGGUUUCUAGGAUCGACGUAAUGAUUAAUAGGGAUAGUUGGGGGCAUUAGUAUUCAAUUGUCAGAGGUGAAAUUCUUGGAUUUAUUGAAGACUAACUACUGCGAAAGCAUUUGCCAAGGAUGUUUUCAUUAAUCAAGAACGAAAGUUAGGGGAUCGAAGACGAUCAGAUACCGUCGUAGUCUUAACCAUAAACUAUGCCGACUAGGGAUCGGAUGAUGUUAAUUUUUUAAUGACUCAUUCGGCGCCUUA